AUUGAACGCUGGCGGCAUGCCUUACACAUGCAAGUCGAACGGUAACAGGUUAAGCUGACGAGUGGCGAACGGGUGAGUAAUGUAUCGGAACGUGCCCAGUCGUGGGGGAUAACUGCUCGAAAGAGCAGCUAAUACCGCAUACGACCUGAGGGUGAAAGCGGGGGAUCGCAAGACCUCGCGCCAUUGGAGCGGCCGAUAUCAGAUUAGGUAGUUGGUGAGGUAAAGGCUCACCAAGCCGACGAUCUGUAGCUGGUCUGAGAGGACGACCAGCCACACUGGAACUGAGACACGGCCCAGACUCCUACGGGAGGCAGCAGUGGGGAAUUUUGGACAAUGGGCGCAAGCCUGAUCCAGCCAUGCCGCGUGCGGGAAGAAGGCCUUCGGGUUGUAAACCGCUUUUGUCAGGGAAGAAAAGGUUCUGGCUAAUACCUGGGACUCAUGACGGUACCUGAAGAAUAAGCACCGGCUAACUACGUG
rnacentral:rRNA from 1 species